UACGAGGGGGGCGAGCGUUGUUCGGAAUUAUUGGGCGUAAAGGGUGCGUAGGCGGUUCGGUAAGUCUCAUGUGAAAUCUACAGGCUCAACUUGUAGUCUGCAUGAGAAACUGCCGGGCUUGAGUAUGGGAGAGGUGAGUGGAAUUCCGAGUGUAGAGGUGAAAUUCGUAGAUAUUCGGAAGAACACCAGUGGCGAAGGCGGCUCACUGGCCCGUUACCGACGCUCAGGCGCGACAGCGUGGGGAGCAAACAGG
rnacentral:rRNA from 1 species